GACGAACGCUGGCGGCGUGCUUAACACAUGCAAGUCGAGCGGUAAGGCCCUUUCGGGGGUACACGAGCGGCGAACGGGUGAGUAACACGUGGGUGACCUGCCCUCAGCUCUGGGAUAAGCCUGGGAAACUGGGUCUAAUACCGGAUAUGACUCCACGGCGCAUGUUGUGGGGUGGAAAGCCUUGUGUGGCUAGAGAUGGGCCCGCGGCCUAUCAGCUUGUUGGUGGGGNGAUGGCCUACCAAGGCGACGACGGGUAGCCGGCCUGAGAGGGCGACCGGCCACACUGGGACUGAGACACGGCCCAGACUCCUACGGGAGGCAGCAGUGGGGAAUCUUGCGCAAUGGGCGAAAGCCUGACGCAGCGACGCCGCGUGAGGGAUGACGGCCUGGU
rnacentral:rRNA from 1 species